rnacentral:sRNA from 1 species
AAAUAUAAGAAAAACAAGUGUUAAAAAGUUAAAUAAAAUGUAAACCAUAUUGAACCUAGAACAACUCUUAGGGGAUUGGAUGAUGUAUCCAAUUAGUUUACACAAAAUUUAAAAAUUUAACACUUAUCUAUAUAAAAAAAAUCUAAA